rnacentral:rRNA from 1 species
CCUACGGGAGGCAGCAGUAGGGAAUAUUGGACAAUGGGUGCGAGCCUGAUCCAGCCAUGCCGCGUGCAGGAAGACGGCCUUCUGGGUUGUAAACUGCUUUUGCCAGGGGAUAAAAAGUCCCUGCGGGGAAAAUUGAAGGUACCUGGUGAAUAAGCCACGGCUAACUACGUGCCAGCAGCCGCGGUAAUACGUAGGUGGCAAGCGUUGUCCGGAUUUAUUGGGUUUAAAGGGUGCGUAGGUUGUUUUGUAAGUCAGUGGUGAAAUCCGGCAGCUCAACUGUCGAUGUGCCAUUGAUACUGCAGAACUUGAGUACAGACGAGGUAGGCGGAAUUGACGGUGUAGCGGUGAAAUGCUUAGAUAUCGUCAAGAACACCGAUAGCGAAGGCAGCUUACUAGACUGUAACUGACACUGAUGCACGAAAGUGUGGGGAUCAAACAGGAUUAGAUACCCUGGUAGUCCACACUGUAAACGAUGAUUACUCGAUGUUGGCGAUACACAGCCAGCGUCUUAGCGAAAGCGAUAAGUAAUCCACCUGGGGAGUACGCCCGCAAGGGUGAAACUCAAAUGAAUUGACGG